GUAUGAGAGAUGCUAAUUGCAGAAUUUUUGCAUCUAUCUGACUGUUGAUGGCAGUUGGUUGGCAGUUGAUCCUUGGUAAUGAAAAAGAUGGGUACCCUCUCCACAACGAUUUCUUCUUUCAAUAAUGACUUUGGAGACUGGACUGGAAAUUAUGUCUGGAGGUUUAAGAAAUUUCCAAGCAAACCACCAUGUCAUCUUCAAACAGAGAGGAGAAAAUGACUAAUUGUGGAGUAACAAACCAGAUGAAUACAGAGAAUCUUGAGAAUGGGAGAAUCAUAUUAAGGACAAAGAACAGAAGACCGCCAAAAUAUUUUACAUUCUCUAUGAGAAAGAAAAAAAAAAAUCUCUUAACUAGAUUCCAUGUAGAAAAAAAGUUCUGAAAAUAUUUUUAAACCACAACAGGAAGAAUAUGUGAAGAACAAGCAAAACUGUUUAAAGGCAGGAGACUUGGAGCAUCAAUACAAAGAAAUAUUAAAGCCUACAAGUUUUCCUUGAAGUACAAAGAAAAGGUUAUUUUAUUUAAAUAGUGAUGAUAGCCAAGAGCUAUUUCCUUACGUAGCAUUCUAAUUUCUCUAUCAUUUUCUUAAAUUCAUAUAAUUUUUCCUUUUUUAACUAAUUAAAGCAGAC